rnacentral:lncRNA from 1 species
UUCUAAUAAGUUUAUACUAAUAAUGGCAUUUGUUCCAAGGGGUUUGGCCGUUUGGGGAUGGCUCAACACCCAAUAGUACAAGAAGAAUCGUGUAGCAAGAGCUUUUUCGGCUAUAUGCCAAAUUGCCAACAGGUAAUUAUCAAAUUUCUCUAAGGUUCUGGACAACAUAUCAGUACAGAAGCUACUUGUAUAACUGGACAUUUUAAGCAUCCACAGUAUAGGGCUGGAGAUUCAUAUUUACUCGAGUGUUUCUCUUUACUAAGUCUAGAUGUUUGUUUUAUCACACAAGGGAAUCAGGGAAAGGUGAAGGGUAAGGAAAAUAGUGGAAGUCAAACCCAUACUUAGUGUGAAAGACUUCCAACGAUAACACUAAGGUAUAAGCAUUGGUCAUAUGUAGUGAAAAGUUAAUCCUCAGCAUCUGAAUAUGGUGGAC